GGCACUGCUCACUGAUGAUACCCCCACCGAAAAUGUAUAUUUUUUUAAUAGUGUAAAAAUAUGUUAGUGUUUGGUAAACAGGAAUUUGUUGAGUGAUGAAUAUGAAAACGCAUCACACGGUAUUGAUAACUUAUAUAAACCCUGGAAGCAAAAUUUCCAAAAUCUAUAUAUCGUAGUUCCUGGGAAAAUUGUUUAAUGAUACAAGUGUUCGGUAAACAGAAAGUUAUCGAGUCAUGAAUCUGAAAACGCUUCACACGGUAUAGCUGACUUAUGACCUAUAUAAACCUUGAAACCAAAUUUCAAAAAUCUUUGUAAUAUAGAAAAAUGCGACGAAAAAUAUUCAUGGGACGGACAGAACUGACGGACAGAUUGACUGAAUAAUAUCAUAAUCAACUAUUGACGGAAUAGAGUCAUCUAAAAUCUGUCUCAUAUCAUUGUAGUAUGGGCAAAUAAAAAAGAAAUGUUUGCUAUUCUCAACAGGAUUACAAAAAUUGCACAUUUUCUUAAGGCCGCCAAGACUGAUACCGAACAAAAAAAAAACAAUAACUGUGGAUUCAUUUAUCUUCGUGGGUAUCAAUUUUCCUUGAUUGAGGAAAACUUACGUUUUCGGGGAUAUUGAAUUUCGUGGUUUUGUCAAUCUUUGCAUACAAAGCCUAUACCAAAUUUGUAAUGCGUUGAAUAUUUAAAUAUUUAAAUUCGUGGUUCACCCGUACCCAUGAAACCCACGAAAAUUGGUAUCCUACGAAUAAUAAUGAAUCUACAGUAUAGCAGACAGCAACCGACAACAACCAACUCCUAGGUUUGGACUGGCACCAAUAUAAUGAUGCG
rnacentral:lncRNA from 1 species